rnacentral:rRNA from 1 species
UACGGAGGGUGCAAGCGUUAUCCGGAUUCACUGGGUUUAAAGGGUGCGUAGGUGGGUUGGUAAGUCAGUGGUGAAAUCUCCGAGCUUAACUUGGAAACUGCCAUUGAUACUAUCAGUCUUGAAUAUUGUGGAGGUCAGCGGAAUAUGUCAUGUAGCGGUGAAAUGCUUAGAUAUGACAUAGAACACCAAUUGCGAAGGCAGCUGGCUACACAUAUAUUGACACUGAGGCACGAAAGCGUGGGGAGUCAA